rnacentral:rRNA from 1 species
UACGUAGGGUGCAAGCGUUAAUCGGAAUUACUGGGCGUAAAGCGUGCGCAGGCGGUUAUGUAAGACAGAUGUGAAAUGCCCGGGCUUAACCUGGGAACUGCAUUUGUGACUGCAUGGCUAGAGUUUGGCAGAGGGGGGUAGAAUUCCACGUGUAGCAGUGAAAUGCGUAGAUAUGUGGAGGAACACCGAUGGCGAAGGCAGCCCCCUGGGUCAAGACUGACGCUCAUGCACGAAAGGCGUGGGGAGCAAACAGGAUUAG